UUUUACAAUUUUAAAUGGAUUCAAACUAUAUUUCAUAGCCCAUCACAAUAUGAAUGUGAGGAUUCAUUAGUCGCAUCAAUAGAUAAUGAAAGUAUUUUGAUU